GAGGAUUACAACGUCCUCAUUUGAUUCCUGCUAGAACACCAAACCUCAAACAAAAUUGUCCCAUUAACAAUCUGAGAUUGAGGGUGCAUCUAGGAGAAGCAUCAAUGGAUUCUGGAACUACAUCCUAUUAACUGCCAGCUUCUGAGAUUGAGGAUCGGAAAUGGUCCCAAAAAGCAUUAGAUGGCUCUGAGCCUCUGAAGUUCCAUAUAUGCCGAUUUAUAUGGCAAGGUCUCUCUCUCUCUCUCGCCCCGCAAUUUUCGAAAUUCAUGUGGGCAACAAUUAAAUUAACAAGCUUAAUUUGAUCGAUUAACAAAAGAAAGAAGAUGAAGAUCGAGGCUCAAAAGAAGAAGAUGAAGCGAAAGGGACUCAGGGGCCGGAUAGCAUACAUAUAUUAGAGUGAAGCUUUGAAAUUGCAUGAAUGUUGGAGCUGCCUAGCUAGUGCCUUCUUUGUCAAGUGCGCUGGAGAAAAUGGAGGAGAAAUGAGCUGAAAUGAAGACACGUGGCGAAAAGAGAGGAGUCCUGGAGGCACUAGGAGACCUUAUGGCUUGAAGAUGACGUGGGAGAUAUUAUGGGAGAUUAAAUCUGAUUUUUGCAUGGGAAAUGAUGGAGAUAAUGUGAAAAUCAAGAGAAGAUCAAGGAGAUUACGUUGAGAAAAUCUUGGGAGAGUUUCAUGGGAUUGUGUCACAAGAUAAGGCUCAAAACAAGUCUAGAUUUGUUCCUCAAUUUCCUCAAGAUAUGUUGGCUGAAAUUAGAGAAUAAAAUCUGCAAUUUUAAUGUGAAAAUCAAGAGAAAAUCAAGGGGAGGACAUUAAGGAUAAAGCCAUGGAGAGAUUUAAGGGAGAAAAGGUCCAAAAUGCAUCCAGAUACAUUGUCUACGUUCGUGCCUAGAUAUUUGGCAGAAAAUUAAGAGAAAAAUCAGAAAUAAUCUUGGGAAAUCAGCAACAAUAUAUUAGGGAUUGAUUUUGGAGCUUUUUGAUUGGUUGAGUGACAUGGCAGAGCUGAUGUGGCAUUAAUUCAUUGGUUGGAGCUGUGUGGUGCAACCAGAAAAUUCCUUGGAAAUUAAAUUCAUGAAGCCUUGUUUUCCCCUAUAUAUACCCUCCUCUCUAGACGUUUUAAACACACCACACCAACACAACACAAGACCUCUCUCCCUCAGAAAAUAAACAUUUGAAAAAUUCUCUCCAUUCUCUAGUCUUCAGAAGCUCUGCGUUUUCAAGCAAGGAGGAGAAGAAGUCAUGCAAUACAUCAAGAUCCUAGCCACCAUCUAUCCUUGUGUCGUCUCUAGAAGAUUGCUUGCUUUCAAGGAUCUUCAAGUUCUUCGUCUCAAAGCUUGUCAUCCAUCUUUCACAGUGUAUUUCUUACUUUCUUUUGUUUUCCUUUGUUUGAUUCGUAGAGUUAUGAAUUCUAGUUAACAUGAUGUUAAGGGCAAAGUUUAAAGCCCAUUUAUAUGUUUUGAAAUAAAUUUGUGAUUUUUAUAUGUUGAUUUAUAUGUUGCUUAUGUGAGUUUGCUUAAUUGAUUUUGGAUUAUAGAAAACUUUUGCAUGUUUAUGUUCUUUGGUGGCCAACUUAGGAUAUAUGCAUGUAAUUGGAGCUAGAUUUAAGUAGUGAAGGCUUUGGAGAAAAGUCGAAAUCAAUUAAGGAGGAUUGCAAAUAGAUGAACUUUGCAUACUAGGUUGUGCACUUUGGUUGACAUCCUUUCUUUGUUCUUCAUGCGUUGAAUGUGUUCAUGAGUAGCUAGCUUUCUAGACUAUGAUUGCAUGUUCAAUAGGUUUAAUUUAGGUGCUUUCACUUAGAUUAAUUAUUCAAGGAAAGUAAAAAAUGGGAAAUCGUUUGCUUUCUAACGUUUCACAUAGUCAACUUCUUUCUCAUGACAUAGAAAAUCAACUAUAGGAAUUGUAAUUGGAUUUCAUUCAUAUGGAUAUGGUUUUGAUCUUUAUUCCUUGCGUUCUACCCUUGUGUAUAUGUUUUUACAUUUUCUUUAUUUUAUUUAUUAAUUUUAUAUUCCUAAGACCUCCUUAUUUGUGUUUACUUGUAUAUAUUUCUUUUCUUUGUUUUAUUUUUGUAAAUAAUACUUUUUACUUUUACUAAUUAAUUAAUUGUUUUUGCAAUUACAGGUGUACCCUCAAUCCCCAGUUAGAACGAUCCCUAUUUACCAUAUACUAACGAUGACAUUUUCAGGGUUAAAUUGCGCGCUUACUUUUAGCGUAUCAUGGACUCCCUUUUAUAGCUAAAGGAGUCCCAUUCCAUUUACAUAUUCUCGAUGUUGGACAAUAAUACAUAUAUUGCUUCUCUUGAAGCCUCUUGAAGAGCAUGGGAGGGUGGCCUCCCUACGAGGUACCGGCCGACCUCCACCAUAGCGAGGUAGCUCGGGUGUCGGACUACCAGAUGCAUGUCGUAGGUGGGACUAACCAUGCCGCGGGGCCCACCUAUGAGGUCGUUGCUUAUGUUUGGCGGUAUGUGGUAUAAGUGAUAUCAACAAGUCCCCCAAGUCCCCGAGUAAGAGGCGCUUCUUGGUUGGAGAGUUUAAAUGUGAUGCCGCCAAGUAUGAGUGAUGACCUCGUUAAACGUCAUACCCAUACUAGUCCCCCAACUCCGUAAGUAAGAAGGGACUCUUCCGGGUCUUGUGAAGUUUCCAUGACAGGUUGGUGCCACGGGGCCCAUCAUCUAGCUAGUACCUGCAAAUAAGAUAAGAGUGUACAAAGAGCAUAUUGAUUGCGCUAGGGCAAUCUAAGUGACAUUUGAGUCAAAUGCGUCGAGUUGGAUGAAUGUUUAUGUGAGAUACAUGUUACACAUGGUGUGGAUGUUCAUAUUAUGUAAUGUUGACAUACGACGUAUAAGUCGAAAAUGUAUGUGGUUGUGAUAGCAUACAAAGUGCAUAUGAUGCAAAGAUGUGUGAUGAACACGAUGACACAUAAUGAUAUGUAAUGUUGUAUGCACGUGAUACAUAUGUGUUGGGAUCGGGAGUGUUAUUACUCGCCGAGUCCCCCAAGUCACGUAGUUAGUAAAAUUGA